AACACCUGGAAGAUCAAAAGGCAUAAUUAAGAGAGCCACUGUCCACUGCAAAAGGUUCAGCAACACUUUUGUGUAAGACUAAGCAGAAAGAGUUUGAGAUUCAUGCCUCCCAUUUGAAGAAAGCAGGUGUAUGCAGGAAGUGUUCCCAAGAAGAAACAAGGCAAUAGUGAGAUAACUCAUAACCCAGGUCUAGGGAAUUUCUGGCUACCAGCCCCAGAUCUACUACUGAUAAUUAGUAGAUCAUUAUAUGGGUUCUGGGCAGAUGAGUUAAAGGCACAGGCUCUGGAGCCAAGACUGCCUGGGUCUGAAUCCCACUUCUGUCACUCACUAAUCAUGCGACCUUGCGAAAGUUACUUAACUUUCCGUGUCUAAAUUGUCUCAUCUGUAAAAUUACAAUAACAGUAUAUACUUCAUAGGUUUGUUGUGAUGAUUAAACGAGUAAAUAAGUGCAAAAUGCUUAGUAUAGGGCCUAUAACAGACUAAGCGCUUAACAGAUGUUUGGUGCCUUUAUUUUAUAAAUUCUAGUGUUGACAGCAGUGCAAGGAUUGGACACUGACGGUCUUAACACUUGCCAUGUCAACAUCAUUGGAUUGCAGCACUCAUCAAAUCAGAGGAAAACGACCACUGAACAUGGAUGCCAGCAUCGAGUCUUUAAAGCGGCACAAGGACUCACGUCUGGCUGUGUAAAUACAGCCACCCACAUUCAGUCGAAGAAUAUCUACCACCUUUUCUUCUGCCUUGUGACCUUCCAUUGCUCCCAUCAACACCUAAAUUUUUGCUUUGAAACGCUUUCAGAAACUGCAAAAUAAUGGUGGUCCUGGUCCACCUCUGUAAAAACAAAGGACAAUCACAUUUCCAAUAAUACACCAAAUAGAUAAUAAAAUAAAUACAUCUUAAUGUGA